CGUGAUUGCAGGUGGUAACACGAGUCGUUUCAAAUUAUCGAGUAAACCAACCCCGUAAAUGAUGAGAGAUGCCGAAAACUGAGAGCCAUACGCAUCCUGGCGAGAACCAGUCAAAAUUUCGAAAGUUUCAAGACCUGUGUGGAUACUCCUCCAAUUUGGCGAGAUGUUCAGCACUCUGGAAUUCCUCUUCUCCAGCGUGCUUUAAACGGCUCGGGGUCAAAGCGAGGACUCCUGCUCCGGUGAAAGCCUGUUCGCAAACUUUUGUCCGGAUAUGAAGCACCAGUCUGCGUAUUCUUUGCAUAUGGAGCCAAAUAAGUCGCAAGUCUUCGUCAAAGAUUCUGAGGUGUCGGGCGGUUGGACAAGAGGGCAGUUGAUCAUAGUCGUCAAAACUGUUAGCGACAGGAUUUGGCGUGGUGAUUGAUGGUUUUGUCAAGUGGGGGCUUUGCGUCGUUGUUGUGAUAUCUUCUAUUGUGGUUGGACCAUCUUUUGCGUCUGUAACCUCAUUCCCAUUGUUUUGGUUCUGUUAAUAACAUGAAAAGGAGAAAUAAACUUGGCUUUUCCGGAUUUUGGAAUCCUGUUUACGAUGAGACGGGGACAAGUUGGAUAUUGCAAGAUUUCAGAAUUAAGCCUGAAGGGAUUUCAUUUCGCCGCAACAAAGCCAAGAACCUAAAACCUCACUGGCUUCAACCGCAGCCCAGCACGACAUAUGUAUGAAUGAAGAAAAUGAGUGAGUGGGGAUUUACAUGAGACGACAAAACAUGGUCCAAACCUUAUAAUUAAGUUUGAAGGGAGACAACAAAGGAAGACAACAAAAUUAAGUGCCAUCAUAUUUAUGUAAAGAAAUAACCUACCAAAUUAUGCUCCUGGCUGUGAUGACUCUUCUGACUCGAACUGCUCGCCGUC